rnacentral:rRNA from 1 species
GAUGAACGCUGGCGGCGUGCCUAAUACAUGCAAGUCGAGCGAACGGACGAGAAGCUUGCUUCUCUGAUGUUAGCGGCGGACGGGUGGGUAACACGUGGAUAACCUACCUAUAAGACUGGGAUAACUUCGGGAAACCGUAGCUAAUACCGGAUAAUAUUUUGAACCGCAUGGUUCAAAAGUGAAAGACGGUCUUGCUGUCACUUAUAGAUGGAUCCGCGCUGCAUUAGCUAGUUGGUAAGGUAACGGCUUACCAAGGCAACGAUGCAUAGCCGACCCGAGAGGGUGAUCGGCCACACUGGAACUGAGACACGGUCCAGACUCCUACGGGAGGCAGCAGUAGGGAAUCUUCCGCAAUGGGCGAAAGCCUGACGGAGCAACGCCGCGUGAGUGAUGAAGGUCUUCGGAUCGUAAAACUCUGUUAUUAGGGAAGAACAUAUGUGUAAGUAACUGUGCACAUCUUGACGGUACCUAAUCAGAAAGCCACGGCUAACUACGUG